AUGAAAUGUUUCCAAGAUCAUCACCAUGGAAGAAAACAAUAUUCAGGAAGCGACCACGAACCCGUUCAUCUUGACAAGCAUGAUGGACAAGGGUUCUCUUCCCAAUUCUGUGAGGCCCAAUGAUAGGAAGGACAGCCAGAUAUGUGCAAUAGGGUUGCUGAGGAAGACGAGGGCAACUGGCUAGCAGCACAACAAGCUCCCUCACAUCACAAAUUUUGGUCUCCAAACUUUCAAUAACAUUCUUAAGCACAGGUGUGUUCUCUGUACCGAGUGAUAACAAUGAAGUGCUCCUUGUGCAGGUACUGAACCGAAGGCGCUUGCAACUGACCUGGUGAUCUUCAUCUACACCCUCCUCUUCAACACACUGGAACUGGAAGGAGUCAAGAACAUAAUACCCAAGAAACAUACCUUCCAUGAGACCCUUGAGUUGAAGGAUCAUUCCUCUGUUCCUGAUUUGUCGUGCCUCCGCCUCCUCAACUAUGGUGUAGAUCCUUAGGAGAACACUCUUCAGCCUCUCCAGGUCCUGCUCUGUUGUCGUGUGCUGCUUCUCAGAUUUAUGGACCAGGUAGGAGAUGAACCGGCUCACAAGAUCACUUGCAACUGCAGAGAUGAGCAUGUCCAUUGUGAGCCUAACCCUGGAGGAAAUUGUGUAAGCAGAAGUUUGUUACGAAAUACUACUAUUAAGGUGUUAGGAAGUUGGAAAGUCAAGCAAGGCAGCUGCUGGGACUACGAUGAAAGUGAUUGAAAUUAGUUAGGCACUAUUUAACAGUCGUUGUAAGCUCUUUAAUUGUAAUGUACCCUUCCUUUCUUCAUGAAAUUGGUUGACCGAAUCUUUCGGCCAACCCGGCAAAAUAUAUAACAGAUAUAUUGGUGCAUUGAAUUGGUCA